GACGAACGCUGGCGGCGUGCUUAACACAUGCAAGUCGAACGGUGAAGCGCCUUCCUUUUUGGUGGGUGUGGAUGAGUGGCGAACGGGUGAGUAACACGUUAGUAACCUGCCCCCUUCUUCUGGAUAACCGCAUGAAAGUGUGGCUAAUACGGGAUAUUCUGGGUCUGUCGCAUGAUGGGUCUGUGAAAGAUAUUGUUUCGGUGGGGGAUGGGCUCGCGGCCUAUCAGCUUGUUGGUGGGGUGAUGGCCUACCAAGGCGGUGACGGGUAGCCGGCCUGAGAGGGUGGACGGGCACACUGGGAAUGAGACACGGCCAAGACUCGUACGGGAAGCAGCAGUGAGGAAUAUUGGACAAUGGGCGCAAGCAUGAUGCAGCGACGCCGCGUGAGGGAUGGAGGCCUUCGGGUUGUGAAACUCUUUCGCCAGUGAAGCAGGGCUGCCUUGUUUGUGGGUGGGUUGACGGUAGCUGGAGAAGAAGCGCCGGCUAACUACGUG
rnacentral:rRNA from 1 species